rnacentral:rRNA from 1 species
GACGAACGCUGGCGGCGUGCUUAACACAUGCAAGUCGAACGGAAAGGCCCUGCUUUUGUGGGGUGCUCGAGUGGCGAACGGGUGAGUAACACGUGAGUAACCUGCCCUUGACUUUGGGAUAACUUCAGGAAACUGGGGCUAAUACCGGAUAGGAGCUCCUGCUGCAUGGUGGGGGUUGGAAAGUUUCGGCGGUUGGGGAUGGACUCGCGGCUUAUCAGCUUGUUGGUGGGGUAGUGGCUUACCAAGGCUUUGACGGGUAGCCGGCCUGAGAGGGUGACCGGCCACAUUGGGACUGAGAUACGGCCCAGACUCCUACGGGGGGCAGCAGUGGGGAAUAUCGCACAAUGGGCGGAAGCCUGAUGCAGCAACGCCGCGUGCGGGAUGACGGCCUUCGGGUUGUAAACCGCUUUCGCCUGUGACGAAGCGUGAGUGACGGCAAUGGGUAAAGAAGCACCGGCUAACUACGUG